rnacentral:rRNA from 1 species
GACGAACGCUGGCGGCGUGCUUAACACAUGCAAGUCGAACGUGAUUUUUGUGGAAAUUCUUUCGGGAAUGGAAAUGAAAUGAAAGUGGCGAACGGGUGAGUAACACGUGAGCAACCUACCUUACACAGGGGGAUAGCCGUUGGAAACGACGAUUAAUACCGCAUGAGACCACAGAAUCGCAUGAUAUAGGGGUCAAAGAUUUAUCGGUGUAAGAAGGGCUCGCGUCUGAUUAGCUAGUUGGAAGGGUAAAGGCCUACCAAGGCGAUGAUCAGUAGCCGGUCUGAGAGGAUGAACGGCCACAUUGGAACUGAGACACGGUCCAAACUCCUACGGGAGGCAGCAGUGGGGAAUAUUACACAAUGGGCGAAAGCCUGAUGCAGCAACGCCGCGUGAACGAUGAAGGUCUUCGGAUCGUAAAGUUCUGUUGCAGGGGAAGAUAAUGACGGUACCCUGUGAGGAAGCCCCGGCUAACUACGUGCCAGCAGCCGCGGUAAUACGUAGGGGGCUAGCGUUAUCCGGAUUUACUGGGCGUAAAGGGUGCGUAGGUGGUCCUUCAAGUCGGUGGUUAAAGGCUACGGCUCAACCGUAGUAAGCCGCCGAAACUGGAGGACUUGAGUGCAGGAGAGGAAAGUGGAAUUCCCAGUGUAGCGGUGAAAUGCGUAGAUAUUGGGAGGAACACCAGUAGCGAAGGCGGCUUUCUGGACUGCAACUGACACUGAGGCACGAAAGCGUGGGUAGCAAACAGG